rnacentral:lncRNA from 13 species
CCUAGGUUGCUUUCAAAUUCUUACUACCACAAAUACUGCUGUGAUAAGCAUCUCCACACUCUUUCCCUUAUUAUCUGUACACAGGUGUUUCUGGAGUAUCUAUUCAAGAGUGAGUUGGCUAACAAUUAAGAGAAAUAAAGUGGAAGACAGCCUCCACUGUUCCUAUUUUACUAUAAGUCUCUUGGGAGAAGGACUGACUCUUCAAUCCCUGUUGUAUGCAGCACACUAAACAGGGGUCUGAGGUAGAGCAGGAAGGCAACAUAAGUUCAAGUUCCUGGAGAGAGUGUCUAGAACAGAGAGCCUUGGCAUCUAGAGGGUCCAGAAAAUGGAAGACAGGAGUUCGGCAAGGUAGGUAAAGUAAGGUAAGUAAUAUUCUACAUUUGGAAUAGUAAGACAUGAGUAUAAACUAUAGAGGUGGUCCAACGAUUGGCUAAACAUAGAUACUGCAUCAAUUAUAAGAGCAAAAAAAUAAGUAGUCAAGAAGGAAGUAAAAAACAAGAAAAUUGUA